UAGAGUUUGAUCCUGGCUCAGAACGAACGCUGGCGGCAUGCCUAACACAUGCAAGUCGAACGAUGCCUUCGGGCAUAGUGGCGCACGGGUGCGUAACGCGUGGGAAUCUGCCUUUAGGUUCGGAAUAACUCCUCGAAAGGGGUGCUAAUACCGGAUGAUGUCGAAAGACCAAAGAUUUAUCGCCUGAAGAUGAGCCCGCGUGAGAUUAGCUAGUUGGUGGGGUAAAGGCCUACCAAGGCGACGAUCUCUAGCUGGUCUGAGAGGAUGAUCAGCCACACUGGGACUGAGACACGGCCCAGACUCCUACGGGAGGCAGCAGUGGGGAAUAUUGGACAAUGGGCGAAAGCCUGAUCCAGCAACGCCGCGUGAGUGAUGAAGGCCUUAGGGUUGUAAAGCUCUUUUACCCGGGAAGAUAAUGACUGUACCGGGAGAAUAAGCUCCGGCUAACUCCGUGCCAGCAGCCGCGGUAAUACGGAGGGAGCUAGCGUUGUUCGGAAUUACUGGGCGUAAAGCGCACGUAGGCGGCUUUGUAAGUCAGAGGUGAAAGCCUGGAGCUCAACUCCAGAACUGCCUUUGAGACUGCAUCGCUUGAAUCCGGGAGAGGUGAGUGGAAUUCCGAGUGUAGAGGUGAAAUUCGUAGAUAUUCGGAAGAACACCAGUGGCGAAGGCGGCUCACUGGACC
rnacentral:rRNA from 1 species